CUGAUGUUGAAGAAAUGUGCUUGGAGCAGGGCAGUGGUUGGCAUCACAAAUGUGACAUUGUUAAUACUAGCAACAACCCUGCUGCCAUUACCAGCUUUGCAACUUGGACAUGGGUUAACUCCUAGACCAACUGUAAAGAAAAGGUUGUGAUCAACGUUCAAUGGGACUUUGGCAGGAAAUCUUCUUGAGUUAAGGCUGCGUAGAGAGUUGGUAAAUUGGUUGGCAACUGCAGUGGCAUUCUUUGGAGGUGGGGUGGUGAGAGUUGUAGGGGAGUUAGCAAGUGCUCCUGAAUACUGCAAAGUGGCUGUUGCUGUCAUGUUGUCCACAGCAAUUGGAGAAUCCAUGAACGGGGAGGCAGCAACCAAGUACUUGCCUGUAUUUUUGUUAGUUGUGACAAGGACAUUGGUGGUCUGGCCUGGGGCAAUUAGGACUGUAUCGGUUUUGAAUGGUUUAACAUAGGUGGCAUCAACUUCGACGACUGUAAGCUUAUGCCCUGCAAUUUUGAAGAAGAGCUCUUCAUUGAGUGCUGCAUUGAUCAACCGUAGCAUGUAGGUCUCGCCACUUUUGACUGGCAAUGUGAAACCGCCUGCAUGAAUCCAAAAAUCUUUCUGUAUCAGACAUUUAUUAGAAAGCAAGCAUUGACAGCCAGAACUUUCAAGUAUAUCUUAUGGUCAUUAAUCUUAGUUGAAUACCCUGUGAAGAACAAGUUGAGACAGCUCCUGGAUGGCCAUUAAUUGUGUGAGCAUCAGAGACAUUUGGAGCUAAUCCAGAUUUAAGAGCCUCGUUGAUCACAGCUUCAGUAUCUGAUUUCCACCAUUCAGCUGCAAUUUCACGUCACCACAUUAGUCUCAGGUUACAUAUUUAAUAACCAUGAACCUUGAAGCAUUGAAUUAUGGUCGGAAUGCACAUAAUUUCAACAGUUUUAGUGAAAGAAAUAGCUAUUAUGUAUCCUGCUCACCUAAUACAACAACCACUUCUUUAUGAGGACCUGGGAAUGGGUAGGGGAUGCCGCGUUUAGGCAAGACAACCAUGGCACCAUGAACUGUGGCCCUUAGCCAGAGAAUAUGUGCGUGCCAAAGAAGUGUGCCCCUCUGACCAGUGAUUGUGAAAUUGUAGACAUAGCUUUGCCCUGGCUGAAUGGGGCAUUGUGUAAUGUAUGCUGGUCCAUCAGCCCAGCCCGUUCUUAGUUGCCUAAUGCCAUGCCUGCCGAAUACCAAGAAAAACCCGCAUCGGAAUCAUUCAUGAUCAAUUGAAGUAUAACUGUUAUACGGGGUUUGUUUCGUUAGCUUACCAGUGAAUAGAAACAUUAUAUUUGACAUGGUUAACAACUUUUACAAGAACUGUAUCGUCUUCUCUGGCAUACAGAGUGGGUCCUGGGAAGCGGCCAUUGACGGUAACAAUCGGCUUCCUAGAGCAUAGUCUGGUAGUAUUUUUCAUCACCACCUGUUGAAAUGAUAGGUUAAAUUAAGCUCAUUUCUACAUCAAAUGUAUAUAAUUCAAAGGUCACAACUAAAUUGUUCAUAUUGGUUGUGACUAUUAAUAUGUCAUUAUAGCUCUGUAGUAAUUUGAGAUUUUCAUUCUCUUAUUGUUUCUUAUCUGUAUGGUUACUUACAUGUCGUCGAACUUCAUCUUUCAUCUCUCAGUUGGCCCCAUUUUAACAAUGUACUCAACUAUUUCUGUAAACUUAUUGUGUUAUUAUUAUUA